AUGUGAUAUCACGAAUUACUUGGUGUUGGGUAAGAUAUUUUACGGUAAUGAUAACGCCAAAAAAAUAGAGAAUAGAACCAACAUUCUGCGUAAAAAUGGUGACGUGUCAUGAAUGAUCUCACACAACGGACCCUUGUGGUCAAGUGAGGGGCGACCGCGCAAAGACUAGUUACGCCCAGAGCGAGGUGACAUUAGGCGAGCCGAGGGGAACACGAGCAGGAGGUUCUAACUAUCCUACCUUCGAGAUGUCACGUGCCUCGCUUCUUGCCUCAGGCGCCAUUUUCAUCGCCAUGAGGGUGACGUCACCUCAUGACACGUUUACCAAAUCAAACCCGCUGUAAGUAAGUGCACUCAUUUCUGUCAUGCCAUUAAUGGGAAACCACAAACUAUUAUAAUAAAACAUUGUUAAGAUAUUACUUAAAUUACGUAUUAUAAUGUUACUGGUAGUAAUUAUAAGUAAUAGAUAUAUUGUAAAAGUUUUAUAUCAACAGUGAAAGUUAGAUUGAACUUGGUUUGUAAAACUUUUGUAACUUUAUAAAGUGAUAAAUCAUUAUCAAUAUUUGAACCUGUGACUAUAGUAAAUUUGAUGAAAAACAUUCGAUUUAUGUCUCAAAAAUGUUAGUGAGAUUGUUGAUUAAUCUCCGUUACACGUUCCUAAAUUAAGAUUAAUUCUCAGGAGCGGGUUCAAAGGCGGAUUUCAAAGGCUGAGUCCUAAGGCUUGGUUUGGAGACUGAGUUCAAAGGCUGAGUUUAAGGUCAGAACUCCAGACCGGAUGCUCAGGUCAUGAUACUAACACUACGCAUGAUACUAACAGUACUCAUGACACUAACAUGUCACGACCGACUCUCAACGAAGAAGAAGGAAGAAUGAAGACAGAAAUCUUCAGAGAGUGUCAGAGUGAUUGUUAUGAGAGAUAUGUAUAAGAAGUUAUUUUUUUGUAUGUGGUGAGUUAUUAUGGGAUUUAAUAUAGAGUAUAAGGCAUGA
rnacentral:lncRNA from 1 species